GACGAACGCUGGCGGCAUGCCUAACACAUGCAAGUCGAGCGAGUGAAUCUCCUUCGGGAGUGAAGCUAGCGGCGGACGGGUGAGUAACACGUGGGCAACCUGCGUCAUAGGGGGGAAUAGCCUUUCGAAAGGAAGAUUAAUACCGCAUAAGAUUGUAGCUUCGCAUGAAGUAGCAAUUAAAGGAGCAAUCCGCUAUGAGAUGGGCCCGCGGCGCAUUAGCUAGUUGGUGAGGUAACGGCUCACCAAGGCAACGAUGCGUAGCCGACCUGAGAGGGUGACCGGCAACAUUGGGACUGAGACACGGCCAAGACUCCUACGGGAGGCGGCAGUGGGGAAUAUUGCACAAUGGGGGAAACCCUGAUGGGGCAACGCCGCGUGAGUGAUGACGGCCUUCGGGUUGUAAAGCUCUGUCUUCAGGGACGAUAAUGACGGUACCUGAGGAGGAAGCCACGGCUAACUACGUGCCAGCCGCCGCAGUAA
rnacentral:rRNA from 1 species